rnacentral:rRNA from 1 species
AUUGAACGCUGGCGGCAGGCCUAAUACAUGCAAGUCGAGCGAGAGGCGGACGGGCGAGUAAUGUAUGGGGACCUGCCUGACAGAGGGGGAAAACUACUGGAAACGGUGGUUAAUACCGCAUACCAUCGGAUGAACUCAUACUGGAUUAGCUAGGAGGUGGGGUAAAGGCUCCCCUAGGCGACGAUCCCCAGCUGGUCUGAGAGGCUGAUCUGCCACACGGGAACGGAGACACGGCCCAGACUCCUACGGGAGGCAGCAGUGGGGAAUCUUACGCAAGGGGCGCAAGCCUGAUGCAGCCAUGCCGCGUGUAUGAAGAAGGCCUUAGGGUUGUAAAGUACUUUCAGCAGGGAGGCGUUACCCACAUAGGAAGCACCGGCUAACUCCGUGCCAGCAGCCGCGGUAAUUC